rnacentral:rRNA from 1 species
CCUGGCUCAGGAUGAACGCUAGCUACAGGCUUAACACAUGCAAGUCGAGGGGCAGCAUGGUCUUAGCUUGGUAAGACUGAUGGCGACCGGCGCACGGGUGCGUAACACGUAUGCAACUUGCCUCACAGAGGGGGAUAACCCGUCGAAAGACGGACUAAUACCGCGUACACUCCACUUUGGGCAUCCAAGGUAGAGGAAAUGAAUUUCGCUGUGAGAUAGGCAUGCGUCCCAUUAGCUAGUUGGUGAGGUAACGGCUCACCAAGGCGACGAUGGGUAGGGGAACUGAGAGGUUGAACACCCACACUGGUACUGAGACACGGACCAGACUCCUACGG